UACGUAGGUGGCAAGCGUUAUCCGGAUUUAUUGGGCGUAAAGGGAACGCAGGCGGUCUUUUAAGUCUGAUGUGAAAGCCUUCGGCUUAACCGGAGUAGUGCAUUGGAAACUGGGAGACUUGAGUGCGGAAGAGGAGAGUGGAACUCCAUGUGUAGCGGUGAAAUGCGUAGAUAUAUGGAAGAACACCAGUGGCGAAAGCGGCUCUCUGGCCUGUAACUGACGCUGAGGUUCGAAAGCGUGGGCAGCAAACAGG
rnacentral:rRNA from 1 species